rnacentral:rRNA from 1 species
UACGUAGGGGGCAAGCGUUGUCCGGAAUCAUUGGGCGUAAAGCGCGCGUAGGCGGCCCGGUAAGUCCGUUGUGAAAGUCAAAGGCUCAACCUUUGAAUGCCGAUGGAUACUGCCGGGCUAGAGUCCGGAAGAGGCGAGUGGAAUUCCUGGUGUAGCGGUGGAAUGCGCAGAUAUCAGGAGGAACACCGAUAGCGAAGGCAGCUCGCUGGGACGGUACUGACGCUGAGACGCGAAAGCGUGGGGAGCAAACAGG